CGCCCCAUACUGUUCCUUCUGGACCGACGCCAGAAUCACCGGGCACCGAAACAACACCAGAAUCACCGGGAACCGAAACAACACCAGAGACGAAGCCGCCAGGCCCGACGCCGCAUACUCCUCCUUCGGGACCGACACCAGAAUCACCGGGCACUGAAA
rnacentral:lncRNA from 1 species